UACGGAAGGGGCAAGCGUUGUUCGGAAUCACUGGGCGUAAAGGGCGCGUAGGUGGUUUGAUAAGGGUGUGGUGAAAGUCCGGGGCUCAACCCCGGAUCUGCCGUGCCGACUGUCAAACUCGAGGGCUGUAGAGGCAGACGGAAUUCCGGGUGUAGCGGUGGAAUGUGUAGAUAUCGGGAAGAACAUCUGUGGCGAAGGCGGCUUGCUGGGCCUCUACUGACGCUGAGACUCGAAAGCGUGGGGAGCAAACGGG
rnacentral:rRNA from 1 species